GAUUUCUGGCUGUUCGUGUCUGACCCGCCGCGGUUACGUGGUUGUGUGUCGGGUUACGUUCGCCAUCUUUUCAGAGAAGCUUAUCUUUCGUAAGAGAGGUAAGUGAUUCUGAAUCUUUUACUUUGAAAAAAUUAGAGUGUUUAAAGCAAGCAUUUUGCUAUGAAUAUUACAGCAUGGAAUAAUAAUUUAGGACUUUGGUUCUAUUUUGUUGGUUUCUAGAACUGAAGUAAUGAUUGAUAGGGACAGUUGGGGGUGCUAGUAUUCAGCGGCCAGAGGUGAAAUUCUUGGAUUCGCUGAAGACUAACUUAUGCGAAAGCAUU
rnacentral:rRNA from 1 species